rnacentral:lncRNA from 1 species
GAUACAUAACAUUCUGCUACACAGAUGCUGUUUCCUUUGCCCAGCACACCUGUCACUCACCUCAACCCUUUCUCUCUUUUCCCCAUCUUUCUGUGGCUAGCUCCUCCUCAUUCUUUAGGUCUCAGUGUAGAUAGCACCACUAUCAGGAAGGAGUCCAGACACUGCCAGGCCUAAGAAAUGUAAAUUAAAUGCUCUCAAGGGAUGAGAGACACUGGAAGCUGGGACGCUCUUGGAACUCUGUUGCCAUCAUCAAGGUCAGCAGUCCAACUACCAGGGCCAGAGCCCCAUCAAAGAAUCUUCAGUGCCAGCCAGAAAGAAUGAUGAACUCCUCGUGUAAAGGGAGUUUGGGGCAACCAGUCAAACCAUGGCCUCAUGGGAAGCAGCUGACUAGGCAAUGAGAGAGGAAUACAAAAGACAAGGCACUGCGAAGCCAAGUCUGGUUGGGGAGAAGAAACCAAUAUGCCUGAAACAGGGAACCAGAAAGGACUCAGACAAAACUGCUGACAAGUAUGGGGUUUCUUGGGGUAGGUGGUGAAAAUAUUCCAAAAUAAGAUUAUAGCGAUGUUUUAAUAAUCCCCUGGAUAUAAUAAAAAAACAUCGAAUUGUACACUUCAAA